AACAAGAAGUGCACAAGGAAAAAAAAACAAAGUGUAGCGGCAGCGCGCGGCGUCUCAUCGUCAACGCGGCGUCAAGCGAAAGUAAUGGAAUGGGAACCACAGCCAUCCACCGUCGGCUCUGUGACGAAGCCAGCUGCGACGCCAGCGUCAACAGCGUGCAGACAAUCCGAAUUUCUUUGGAUGCUGUUGGACUAACGAUGUUUCGGCGGGGUUGGUGCGGUGAUGUUGAUGCUGCUGCUGGUGGGUGGUAUUGGUGUUGGUGCGGUGUUGUUUAUUGCUUUCUGUGUAGACACUCGAAAUACCAGCUAGUAGAUUCGCAAGAGAAACUGUAAAAUAACUGCAUUUGAAUGAUGUUUCGACGUCAUCACCUGCUCCUACUCCCACUACUCGUCCUCCGUCCAAGAGCAACAAACAAUUGAAUGAAAAAAAUCAAGCAAUAAAAGAAGAAGAGCUUUGAAGAGCAAAAGCAGCAAAAUAAUAAGUGAAACCCGUAAACCAAACAUAAAGCUGGCAACUCUGCCAACCGUAGCGCAACGGCUACGGCAAACUAAGCUAAGCAGCGGCGUCAGCAUCGACGUCUGACUGCAGCCAGAGGUCGCGCUGGCAACAAAAUUGCGUUUGUAAUUUUGCCAAAUUGUGGGCACAAAACAGCCAAAAAUGUAAUGAAAACAGCAAAUGAAAUUAAAAUGUAGUUCAGAGUUUUGGACAGCAGCAGCAGCGCAGAAGAGCGGUCACAGCCGGGCAAGAUCAACCAUAGAAAAUUAUGCUCAGGGUCAGAGACCAACAAAAUGGACAAC